AAAGAGAUGGCUAAUUAUUCUUGUGAGUGUUGAGGGUGUUAUGUCUCCCCAAAAUUCUGAUGUUGAAAUCCUAACCCCCAGUGUGAUGGUAUUUGGAGACAGGGCCUUGGGAGAUAAUUUGUGUUAGAUGAGAUCAUAAGGAUGGGGCUCCCAUAAAGGGAUGAAUGCCCUUGUAAGAAGAGACGCUGUAGGAUGUGCUCUCCCUCUUUUUCUUUCUAACAUGAGGACACAGCAAGAAGGUGGCUGUCUACAAGACAGGAAAAGAGCCCUCACCAGGAACUGAUUCUGCCAGUGCCUUGAUCUUCAACAUCCCAGCCUCUGGAACUGUAAUAUGUGCAUGUGGGGAAAAAAAAGUUAAAGGCACAAGAGAAUAAAUGGUAAAAGUUGAAUCUCUCACCCUCAAGUCUCCCAGUUCCUUUCUCCAGAGUUAACUCCUGUGAACUUUUUUUGAAAAUCAUCCCAGACAUAUUUGAUGACAGCUGAACAGCUAUUACAGCACAGCCCAGCAGAAAGAAAAUGCAAUCCACGAAAAUGCAAUCCACAGAGGGCCAAUGGCGGGUAUCGUCAACAGCUGUUUUGGGGUUUGGAUUUAUUGUUUUAUUCUGCUUGGGGUGGGGGCCCUGUAGUACAUUUGACUGAACAAACAGCACGCCUUGCUUUGAAACAAGGGUGAGCAGGCUUAUUCUUUGCCUGGAGCCAGUUUGUGCCUUCAUACAGCUGUGUUUGGAUAUGUAGAUAUGGUACAGAAAUUUGGAAAAUUACCACGUGAAAUUAUUGUUUAUCUUUUCUUCUCAGGGGAACAAAGUUUUGAAUAAGCUUUUCAUUGACGAAUAAAAAUCUCAGUGUCUAGUUAACUACAAAGUAUGCAAUAUAAAAUCAUGUGAUUCUGUGCCAUGGAAAGAACACCAGGCCUGGAUUCAGGAAUGUUCCGUGUCAGUCCUCACUCUCACCUGGGGCAAACUUCUAGUGGGACCUCUAGGAGCCCACUCAGCCGGCUGGGCCCCAUCUCCCUGUUCCCUGGAUUAGGAGGCGGGACCAGGGAUUUGUAUAACAAUCCUACAAUUCUUCUUGCCAUAGAUCCGUGCAAUGUUUUCAAAACUUUCCUUUCAAAAUAAUGAUUCUAAAUCCUAGUUACAAGAAAAUGUGUUAUUCACAAAAGUACUAUUGGAUAAAAUUUUUCUAACAUCUCCUUAUGGUUUACAGCAGGUAUUGGCAAACUGCAGCCUCCAGAGCUAACUGUUUCUGUAUGGCCGUUGAGCUAAUAAUAGUUUUUAUAUUUUUAAAUGGUUGGAAAAAAUCGGAAGAAGAAGAUGUCAUGACACAUGAAAAUUAUAUGAAAUUCUAAUGUUAGUGUCAAUAAAGUUUUACUGAAAGCCAGCUACACUUAUUCAUCGAUGUAUUAACAGUACUGAGUGGUUGCAACAGAGACUAAAAUAUUUACCGUGUGACCCUGUACAGAAAAAGUUUGUUGCCUCUUGAUUUACAGUGUUUGAAAACAAAUGGUAAUCUGCAGAAAGAAUAGGUAACUUAUAGUAAGGCACUUAGAAUAUGACAGGUACUGUACUAAGUGAUGUGGGUGAUUUUUAAAAAUAUGACCAUCUUAUGAAGUAGGUAGGAGUAUCAGCCCCAAUUUCGUGCAUGAGGAAAUUCAGGCUUGCCCAUGUCAGGUACCCUCAGGCUUGCCACAUUGCAAAAAAGUGGCAGAACCUGAAUUUCACUCCAGGUCAAGCUGCAGAGCCCUUGUCUUCUACCUCUGCUCCAGACCAUGGACCUUCCUCCACCUUUCACUCAAAAGACAGAGCUGUUUUGGCAAUGCAGAAAGGACCAAUCUGCUUCGGAACUCCCUGCCAACAAAAGUAUUGGUGUCUUUAGGACUAUUAAAAAGAACUUAAAAUGAUAUAUUUCACAUAAAUCCAUCCAUCUACAGAAUGUGUAACAACGCAAAAGAAGAAAGUUAAAGUUGUAUCUUCAAAAUGCAUUGCAAUAUUUCAGAAGCUGAGUGUCCUACUCAGUGUUACCAAAGUGCCAACUAAUGGGCUGCUACCAUUCCUGAUCAAAUUGUCACUGAUACAAAGUAAAAUAAUAAAAAGAAUAAAGACAGUGUACUUAGUUUUUCAUGGAACUAACUAUUCAGCUUAAAGAUAGUCCUGUAUUGUGAGAUUAUAUCCUUUCAAAUUUUUGGUGUAAAAUAUAGUCUCCAUUAUGAAUAAUCAUGCCAUACCUCAGGCUUUUUUCUUUAGUGUACUUGCUUGACAAAAGUAAAGCAUAAACAACACUAUUUUGGGCCUUUAUUUGUUUUAUUUUAUUUGGAAAUGUCUUGGUCUGUGGAAUCCUAAAGUCUGGGAACCUCUGGUUUGAAUGUCUUUUGACCCAGUAAUUCAAUUUCUAGGAAAUUAUCCUCUGGAAAUAAUAUGUGGCAUAAAAAACAAUCUAUAAGCAAAAACAUACACUGCACCAUUAUUUGCAAACAGCAAAAUUUCAAAAUAAGAUUGUGCAAUCCUCAAAUUAUGAUAUAGUCAUGUAAUAAAAUAACAUGUGGCCAUUACAAGUCUUUUGUGUAAUGUAUCUAGUGCCAUGGAAAAUGCUCACAAUAUAAUGCUAAGGGGUUAAAAAAAGCAACACAAUUCUAUGAUAAAAUAUGAUUGCAACUAUGAAAAUUAAAUGUAUAAUCAUAAUAUCUUAUUAAAUGUCUAAAUGUAGGCACAGUUACGGUUUUUUUUUUCAGAUCAAGAAUGUUUUUUUCAACUUCUUUUCCAAUCAGUCUGGGCUUUUUUUAUAAGCAGCCAUAAUUGCAGGUGAAAUCUGUUUUGUUUUUGUUUUUUUUUUUUGGUGCUUUUGCCUUCUGUUUUUUCUCCCAUUAUUCUCAUCUUUUUGUCUUUUACUUCUGUGUCCUGGGAGAGCUCUAAAUGUUGAUGCUAUUGUCUGUGGUGUCCAUUCCGCAGCCAAGGUGAGGAAUGAAGCCUUUGAUUCUAUUUGACAUUUGGUUUCUUUUUGAUCCUUCUUCUUCCAAUCAUCAUUGUCAUCUCUUCACAGUUUCUGCAGCUGUUCCAGAGAGAUCAUAUAUAUUUGCAUGCUUAUUGUCAAAUUAUUUUCUUCUUGUUACCUUGGUAAAUAAUGUUUAGAAGGCUUCCACUGAAUGGCAUUCCUCAGAAGGACAUUUCUUUCCUCUUGACCUAGAGCAAUUUUUAGUAGGCUGUGUUUGAUCUUGUUUAUUCUUAAUUCAAGAGACAUCUCAGCAGAUCCAGUAUUUGCCGACAGGGGAGGUGGCCUCCUGUUCCUCUCCUUUCUCCCUGCCUGCAUGGGGAUGGUCCAACCCCUCUCAGACCCAUAGCUGGAGAGUUGGUGGACUUCAAGAUCCCUCCCAGUGUUCCGCAGUGUGCAUCCACUGGACUGAGGCAGGGUUUUCCCCAAUACCUUCGGGGUUUCUGCCACUGUGAACAAAUAGGGACAACAAGCUCCCCAGGCUGUAGGAUUGUGAGGCCUCUUAGCAUCCCUUCUGAACCUCCACCACCCAUCCCCACUGUUAUGGUCAAAUUAUAUCCGCAGAAAUUCUUACUGAAGUCCUAACUUCCAGGACCUCAGAAUGUGACCUUGUUUGGGAAUAGAGUGUUACAGUUGUAAUUUUGUUAAGAUGAGGUCAUCAUGGAGUAGGGUGGGCCCCUGAUCAGGUAUAACUGGUAUCCUUAUGAAAAGGGGAAAUUUGGGCACAGAAACCCACACGAGGAGAAUGUCAUGCGAAGACACAGGCAGGGAUGGGGGUGAUGCCUUUCCACACCAAGGAAGUCCAAGGACGGCCUACAACCACUAAAACCCAGGGGAGAAGCAUGGCACGGUUUCUCACAACCUGAAGAAGAAACCAACGCUGCCAGCACCUUGAUCUUGGACUUCGGG
rnacentral:lncRNA from 10 species